GCGGAGGGAUCAUUACCGAGUUUACAACUCCCAAACCCCUGUGAACAUACCACUUGUUGCCUCGGCGGAUCAGCCCGCUCCCGGUAAAACGGGACGGCCCGCCAGAGGACCCCUAAACUCUGUUUCUAUAUGUAACUUCUGAGUAAAACCAUAAAUAAAUCAAAACUUUCAACAACGGAUCUCUUGGUUCUGGCAUCGAUGAAGAACGCAGCAAAAUGCGAUAAGUAAUGUGAAUUGCAGAAUUCAGUGAAUCAUCGAAUCUUUGAACGCACAUUGCGCCCGCCAGUAUUCUGGCGGGCAUGCCUGUUCGAGCGUCAUUUCAACCCUCAAGCACAGCUUGGUGUUGGGACUCGCGUUAAUUCGCGUUCCUCAAAUUGAUUGGCGGUCACGUCGAGCUUCCAUAGCGUAGUAGUAAAACCCUCGUUACUGGUAAUCGUCGCGGCCACGCCGUUAAACCCCCAACUUCUGAAUGUUGACCUCGGAUCAGGUAGGAAUACCCGCUGAACUUAAGCAUAU
rnacentral:rRNA from 1 species